GACGUAGGAUGCGAGCGUUGUUCGGAAUUACUGGGCGUAAAGCGCGCGUAGGCGGACCUGCAAGUCGGGGGUGAAAGCCCGAGGCUCAACCUCGGAACUGCCUUCGAUACUGCGGGUCUCGAGUCCGGGAGAGGUGAGUGGAAUUCCUAGUGUAGAGGUGAAAUUCGUAGAUAUUAGGAAGAACACCAGUGGCGAAGGCGGCUCACUGGCCCGGUACUGACGCUGAGGCGCGAAAGCGUGGGGAGCAAACAGG
rnacentral:rRNA from 1 species